ensembl:misc_RNA Metazoa_SRP Metazoan signal recognition particle RNA
GCUGGGUGUGGUGGCGCGUGCCUGUAGUCCCAGCUACUCGGGAGGCUGAGGCUGGGGGAUCUCAAGUCCAGGAGUUCUGGGCUGUAGCGCGCUAUAUGCUGAUCGGGUGUCUACACUAAGUGCAGCAUCAAUAUGGUGACCUCCUGGGAGCGGGAAACCACCAGGUUGCCUAAGGAGGGGUGAACCAGCCUAGGUUGGAAAUGGAGCAGGUCAAAACUCCCGUGCUGAUCAGUAGUGGGAUCACACAUGUGAAUAGCUACUGCACUUCAGCCUGGGCAACAUAGUAAGACCCCAUCUCAA